AGGACGAACGCUGGCGGCGUGCUUAACACAUGCAAGUCGAGCGGAAAGGCCCUUCGGGGUACUCGAGCGGCGAACGGGUGAGUAACACGUGAGUAACCUGCCCCAGGCUUUGGGAUAACCCUCGGAAACGGGGGCUAAUACCGGGUAUUCACAUUCUGCGGCAUCGUGGGGUGUGGAAAGUUUUUGCGGCUUGGGAUGGGCUCGCGGCCUAUCAGCUUGUUGGUGGGGUGAUGGCCUACCAAGGCGAUGACGGGUA
rnacentral:rRNA from 1 species